UACGGAGGGUGCAAGCGUUGUCCGGAUUUAUUGGGUUUAAAGGGUGCGUAGGUGGCCUUAUAAGUCAGUGGUGAAAGCCUGCAGCUUAACUGUAGGACUGCCAUUGAUACUGUAGGGCUUGAGUACUGAUGAGGUAGGCGGAAUUGAUAGUGUAGCGGUGAAAUGCAUAGAUAUUAUCAAGAACACCGAUUGCGAAGGCAGCUUACUAAGGAGUUACUGACACUGAGGCACGAAAGCGUGGGGAUCAAACAGGAUUAGAUACCCUGGUAGUCCACGCCAUAAACGAUGAUUACUCGAUGUAUGCGAUAGACUGUAUGCGUCCAAGCGAAAGCGUUAAGUAAUCCACCUGGGGAGUACGACCGCAAGGUUG
rnacentral:rRNA from 1 species